CGUCAGUAUCUGAAGAAUUUGUACGACUGAACACUGAGCGCCACAUAUUUGUAAACAGAGGAGAUAGGGUUCAGUAGAGAUAAACUAUAUGCUCUAACCUUUAGACGAUUGUUAGAAGACUAUAGAAUCAGCGUUAAUUUUGUUAAAAUGUGUUUUCAACACUAGGUGUAGUAGAGUGCCUUACCUUGGGGGUAAAUAUGAGCUCGCGUUCUAAGGCGCGAGCUCAUAUUUAUAGCCUCACAGCAGUGUGACGUUAAGGCACACGUGCCGUGACGUCACAGUACGCUUACUCUUUUUUUUUUUUUUUUUUUUCUAAAUGACAUCAGAAACAGCAGUAUGCGACAUUACGUGAUGGCAGAGCUUCAGUUCAUCCUUUGUCAUUUUUUUUUUUUUUUUUAAUAAAUAGCACAGGGGGAAUGAAUGAGAGAAAGAGGGGGAGAGAAAGAAAGAAAACCAAAGGGGAGAAGAGACAGUGAGAAGGGGGGGAAGAGAGAGAGAAAAAAAAAAAAAGAACUCCUGGGUCACCUGUAUGGAGAAAAAAAAAACAAACAAACAAAAAAAACAAACAGAGGAGACAGCAAACAACAAAGAGUAACAUAAUAAUAGAGAAAACAAAGCACCAUCACAAUAAACUAGCUAGUCAUAGAUAUCAAUAUUUACUAAAUAAUAAACGAUAUUGUGCAGCACGCAAGAUAGACAGCGCACAGUGUGCUUUGAGGCAGCAGCCAAGAAAGCUUUAGUCCGCGUCUGUGAAUACCCAUGUGUGCAUACCUGUGUGGAUCAGCAUGCUUGCAUUCCAAAGGUUUCUCCAUGUAAUGAUCUGCUAGGGAGUGUGGGGGGGCCACAGCCCCGUCCUCCAGGGUGUGAAGCGGGUAUGGAGGAGAUCAAAACUCCAGACAUCCAGAGGCCCCCAGAACACAAGAGACCAUGGAAGACCAACAGAGGGGCAGCCGCGCCACUGUUCCAGUAGGAGCUGAGGAGAGUCCCAGAUGAGGGCUCGCCCAGCAGCCGCGGAGCAGAAGUCAGGGGGGGUUGCAGUGACGCGCCCGUGAGCUCCGCCGGCCCCCAGCUGUGCCUGAGUGACCGAGCCCCAGGCCGAGAGGCCGGGGGCACCCCACCUCCAAAGGGCUUACUCUUUGAAAUUCAUUCGGUCACAAAACGUCUUGAACCUUCACCUCCCUGAACGUUAGUAUUAACCAUUAAGCUAACCUUAAUAUUAACCUGCUGUUCUCGAGGAAUGGCAACCCAGACAGGAAAAAACCCGGGGUGCUUCCGCCCUUGGGAUUACGCCCCCGCUGUCUCACCGUCGAUUAACAAACAACACACUCCCCUUUUUUAAUUAUUUACUUUUUGUGUUCAAUUUUACGGCUUGCUCUCACAUAGAAAGCUCUGUUAACGUGGAAUGAAAUUAUACUGGUCGGAGGUAUUAAAGGUAACUUCUUAGUGUUUUUAUUCAGAAAUGUAAGAUUGUGGGAAGCCGAGUUAGCUUAAAGCACAUUGGCUACUAGCAUAUUAGCUAAAUAAAUAACGGAAGCUUGUAUUUUUGUAUAUAUUUCUAUGGUGCUGUAAGCCAGUGUUAAUUGACUUGUUUAGCUAAAUAAAUAACGGAGGACUUAACGACAGUGAUUUUGUCGCUAUAUCUAGCGAGUUUUCAGACGCCUUAAUUGACUUUUUUUUUUUUUUCUAAAAAGCAACUAGCGACAAAUCUGGUGACUUUUUUCUGGUGUUAUUACGAGUUUUUGACGUGGAAGCACGUAUCGCUCUUACAAGCAGCGGGAGCUGCCGUGGGCACCUCGCCCGUGCCAAAGCACUCACAGGCGGCCGUCCUAAUGCAGCAGUUGCCCCCAGCUGCUGUCAGAGCAGGAGCUUUUUACACCUACGGGUCCAAACUGCAAAAGAAUUGCGCAUGAGCGAAACCGCUGCUCCCGCUCUGACUAUAACGCAGGUCGGGAGAAGCGGUAGAAGUAUAUUGUUCUUUGUUUAAAAUAAAUCAAUGCACUAAAAUACACCAUUCCAAACAUUGCUAACUUAGAAAUCGGAUGUCCUUGCAGAGCCUUAACUCUAUCUUCUACAUCCAAUUUUGACUGAAGCUGUCUGGUGAUGCUUGCUAUGUCCAUUUUUGAUUAAUGUAGUUUGUUAACAACAUUAUGUUUAAAAAGUGUUCGUCUUUUACUCUUGCUUUUUUGUGGAUCCCAAGGUUUAAAACUCUGUAAAAGACACACACAGAC
ensembl:lncRNA